CCCUUAGAUGUUCUGGGCCGCACGCGCGCUACACUGAUGCAUUCAACGAGCCUAGCCUUGACCGAGAGGUCCGGGUAAUCUUUGAAACUGCACCGUGAUGGGGCUAGAUUAUUGCAAUUAUUAAUCUUCAACGAGGAAUGCCUAGUAAGCGUGAUUCAUCAAAUCGCGUUGAUUACGUCCCUGCCCUUUGUACACACCGCCCGUCGCUCCUACCGAUUGAGUGUGUUGGUGAGGAGUUUGGAUUGGCCUCGGAAGGUGGUUCGCCACCGUCCGUAGCUGAGAAGUUCUCCAAACCGCCCCACUUAGAGGAAGGAGAAGUCGUAACA
rnacentral:rRNA from 1 species